GACGAACGCUGGCGGCGUGCUUAACACAUGCAAGUCGAACGGAAAGGCCCCUUCGGGGGUACUCGAGUGGCGAACGGGUGAGUAACACGUGAGUAACCUGCCCUUGACUUCGGGAUAACAUUAGGAAACUGGGGCUAAUACCGGAUAGGAAUCCUUGCUGACUGGUGGGGGUUGGAAAGCUUCGGCGGGUUUGGUUGGACUUGCGGCUUAUCAGCGUGUUGGUGGGGUAGUGGCUUAGCAAGGCUUUGACGGGUAGCCGGCCUGAGAGGGCGACCGGCCACAUUGGGACUUGGAUACGGACCAGACUCCUACGGGAGGCAGAGGUGGGGAAUAUUGCGCGAUGGGCGGAAGCCUGAUGCAGCAACGCCACGCGCGUGAUGACGUCCUUCGGGUUGUGAACCGCUUUCAGCAGGGGCGAAGCUUGUGGUGACGGUACCUGCAGAAGAAGCACCGGCUAACUACGUG
rnacentral:rRNA from 1 species